GCAGGCAGCUGCUGGAAAGCGAGUCUUCUUUUGUUUUUCACUAUUUAAAAGUUUCCGUAAUACUUUAUGUCGAAAAAAACAUAUUAUCUUAAGUUAAAUACCUAAACUAUUGGUAAGCUAAGUACCUAAACUAUUGACUCUUUUCGCAAUGCCUGGGCCAAACAGUAACGCUGCAGCAUCUGUGAGAAAGGGCUCAAAUGUCCAGAAGGCACCUGGUGCAAAGCCAACCAAAGCUGCAAGCAAGAAAAAGGAUGAUGAAGAGGGUGUGGAGAAUGGUGAUGGAUGGGACGAGUGGUCUCAUGGAAAAGCACUCAUUAAACCUGCAGACCAACUGGAGCUCACUGAGGCUGAGCUGAAAGAGGAAAUCACAAGGAUCCUGACUGCAAACAACCCACAUGCCCCCCAAAACAUUGUCCGCUACAGCUUCAAGGAACGUUCCUACAAGCCUAUCAGUGUUGUGGAUCAGAUGGCUGUUCACUUUGUCAUGGAGGGCAGUCUCCUGCAUCAAGACUCAGAUGAGGCUCGAAGACUGAGGGCCAAGGAGGGUCUCCCUGAGGAGACUCCAACAGUCAAUGCUGGAGCAGAGCCUGAUGAGGAGAAACCAGAAACCCCGGCUACACCUGUAGAGGAUGGAGGGGAGGUGGAGGAAGCUGGGGAAGAAGACAGACCAGACAGCGUUGCCUCCAAAACAGACAAGAAGGAGCCAAAAGUUACUAACCAGUUCAACUUCAGUGAGAGGGCCUCCCAAACCCUCAAUAACCCACUGAGGGAGAGAAGUUGCCAGACAGAACCUCCUCCACGCAGCAUUUUCUCUGCCACAGCUAAUCAGUGGGAGAUCUAUGAUGCGUAUGUGGAGGAGCUGCAGAAACAAGAAAAAAACAAAGAGAAGCUGAAAGCUGUACCACCAAAGAAAGAUGGUGACAGAAGUAAGAAGAAGAUGAUGAUGAUGGAAACUCAGAGCGACGACAUCACCAAAGUGGCCAAGGCAACCAAGAUCUUUGAACGAAUGGUCAAUCAGAAUACAUUUGAUGACAUAGCUCAAGAUUUCAAAUACUUUGAGGAUGCCUCUGAUGAGUUCAGGGACCAGGAGGGCACCCUGCUUCCUUUGUGGAAGUUCCAGUAUGACAAAGCCAAAAGACUGUCUGUCACUGCCCUCUGCUGGAAUCAGAAAUAUCAGGACCUUUUUGCUGUGGGAAUGGGAUCCUAUGACUUCAGUAAACAGGGGCAUGGCAUGCUUGUCUUCUACUCAUUGAAGAAUUCUGCCUUCCCAGAGUAUAUCUACCCCACCAAUUCUAGCAUCCUGUGCCUCGACAUCCAUGAGCAGCAUUCCUACCUGGUGGUGGUAGGUUUCUACAACGGCUGUGUGGCUGUCUACAACUUGAAGGAGGAGGGACUGGAGCCUGUGUAUAAGAGUACUGCUAAGACUGGCAAACACACUGACCCUGUCUGGCAGGUACGCUGGCAGAAUGAUGACAUGGACAACAAUCACAAUUUCUAUUCUGUGUCAUCUGAUGGCCGAGUUGUGUCUUGGACACUUGUCAAGAAUGAACUGGUCUUUACAGACAUUAUCAGACUGUCACUGAAUGGUGCUGUUUUCGAAGGACUAGAAGGUACACAGCAGCCCAGCAUCGCAUGUGGUACAUCGUUUGACUUCCAUAAACAGAUCGACUAUCUCUUCCUAGUUGGCACUGAGGAGGGAAAAAUACACAAGUGCUCCAAGACUUACUCUAGCCAGUUCCUGGAGACCUAUGAUGCCCACAGCAUGGCAGUUGAUGCAGUAAAGUGGAACCACUUCCACCCGAAGGUUUUCAUCUCUUGCAGUUCAGACUGGACUGUCAAGAUCUGGGACCAUACCAUCAACACUCCCAUGUUCACCUUUGACCUGAAUGCAGCUGUUGGUGAUGUUGCCUGGUCUCCAUACUCCUCCACUGUAUUUGCUGCUGUCACUACAGAUGGAACAGUUCAUGUUUUUGACCUCAACGUCAACAAAUACGAGGCUAUCUGCCAGCAGCCAGUGGUGUCCAAAAAGAAGACCAAGCUGACUCACGUUGAGUUUAAUCCCAUUUAUCCUAUCAUCAUAGUGGGUGAUGACCGAGGCUACGUCACCAGCCUCAAACUCUCCCCUAACCUCCGGAAGAAACCCAAGGGGAAGAAGGGUCAGGAGCUGCCUAAGGGUCCAGAAGUGGAAGUAGCCAAGAUGGAGAAGCUACUCAGUCUGCUGAGGGAACCAGAGCAAAACACAGUUUAAAGCAGCCACCAUGGCUUCUCUCACCAACACAGCAAAAUGAGAGCUUCUCUGCCCUUCAUGUCUUCCCACGAACACAUGCAGCACUCUCUCCCGUCAUGUAUGGCAAGUUAACAAUUCGCUUUGCUGCUUAUUCUCGGGCUGUCAUCUUAUUUUAUGUCAGAAUCAGAAACGGAACUGAUCGAUGCUGACUUAUCUGAAUCGGCUUCUACCUCAUUGGCAACUCGGCGCAGUGCUCGGAUUGCUACUCAUCAAGGGGAAUCAGGUUCAGAAAUUCUGGAGAUGUCAAAAGCUCAGGGUAUUACUCCGGCACCUGGUCUGGAGCUCUCGCAGCUUCAUGACUUGGCUAACGAAGUGGUUUGCAAAACACCAGCUGAGGAUGAGCCCCCAUGCAACCCUUGGCCCUACAGCAGCACCUGGUCGCAAACGCACAAAGAAAACACAUCAUCUAGCUCCUCAAGCCAAGUGUAAGAAUGUCUCUGCCAGCUCUGCUCUUCCUGAUCAACCAAAUGCUGCCCUUCAUCCAUAAGAUAAUGCCCUCACAUCAACUCUCCAGUCUCUAGUAAAUGGUAUUCAUGCAAUUGAUGCUCGCCUCCAGUGUCUGGAGAAUGCCCAAACCUCAUCAUCUUCCUCUGCAGUGUUUACUGCCUCUCAAAUCCCAUUGAUUUAUAUGCCGGCACCUGCACCUCAGCCAUCCAUUUUCACCGUAAAUGCCCCAGACAUGCUACAGCAUUCCCUGGCCUCUGCUAUCUCUGCUUCUAUGCUAGGUAGGCCUUAUGUUCCCUUUGGAGCCAACAUCUCUCCUCGCUUGAGGUCGAAAAUUUAGUUUAAUGCUAGAUGUUUUGAUCCAUCUUUCCCCAGCCUAUUCUCCAAUCCAGCCAUUAAACUGUUACUUAAAGGCAUUUCAAAAGUUUCUCCUUCUAGCAUUGAUAAUAGACUCCCUAUUACUCUUUCCAUCUUGCAUAAAAUGUUUUGUCACUCUUGAGACAUGGUCAUUUAUCUCCCUCUCUCUUGGAUUGUUCUGUUUUAUUAGCUUUUCAUGGGUUUUUAAGGAGUGAUGAAAUUACCACUUCUUCAAAUUCAUUUGAUCCAGCUAAAGAUGUUGCCUUUGCAGAUUUAACUUUGCACCCAGAUUUCUUUAGUCUUUUCGUUAAACACUCUAAAGCUGGAAGUGAUUCUCAGUUCUAUCCUUUUAAAUCAAUGUGUAAAUAUUUUUUUUAAAAAAUAAGCCUUUCUCUAACCCUGGUGCCCCUCUCUUUCUGACCCCAGAUAACAAUCCCAUAUGCAAAUCUUGGUUUAGCUUUCAUUUAGAGCAGAUUCUUCUGAGAUGUAACAUACCCCUAAAGCAUUAAUCAGGUCAUCCGUUUAGAAUAGGUGCAGAAACGUCUGCAGCCAUGCAAGGUCUAUCAACGGCUUCCCUUCAACAACUGGGACAAUGGUCAUCUUCUGCCUAUGAUUCCCAUGUGCGUCACUGCAAUCAUUAAAGCUCAAAGAUCUCUAAAGCCUCAACAGCUUAUGGUAAUAGCUUUGAUGCCAAAUUCAGCACAGUCUGGAGCCACGCCAUGUCAGUCAGCGCGGCACGAGUCAGAUAACAUGACAGCAGGAAUCAUUCUGUCAUUAACAAGGAAGAAAUUAUCUAACAAGCGAAAUAUUUCCUGCAGUUACCAAGAUUAGGUCUGAGUGAGUGUUAAAUAUGUUGCUAGAAAUGAAAGUAGAGGACAACAUGAAUGAUAGACAAGUUUGUUUAUACAGUAAUUCUUCAUGUACAGCAGGAAAAUUUCCAAAAAUGUGUUUGAAGCUAAUUAACAAUUUUUCUGUUGUCAUCAAAGAACAUUGAAAUCUUGAUAAAUUUCUUUUGUCACA